rnacentral:rRNA from 1 species
AAGUCGUAACAAGGUUUCCGUAGGUGAACCUGCGGAAGGAUCAUUACCGUUGGGGCUUCGGCCCCAAUCAAGAUACCACCCCUUGCAUUUUGAGUACCUUCUGUUUCCUCGGCGGGCCCGCCCGCCAACGGGGACCACACCGAACCCUUCUGUAGUUGCAGUAAACGUCUGAAAAACAAACAAAAAAUCAAAACUUUCAACAACGGAUCUCUUGGUUCUGGCAUCGAUGAAGAACGCAGCGAAAUGCGAUAAGUAGUGUGAAUUGCAGAAUUCAGUGAAUCAUCGAAUCUUUGAACGCACAUCGCGCCCUUUGGUAUUCCUUAGGGCAUGCCUGUUCGAGCGUCAUCUAACCCCCUCAAGCACUGCUUGGUGUUGGGCGCUUUGUCCCGCCCCGGCGCGGACUCGCCUCAAAAGCAUUGGCGGCCUGUGUAUUGGCUUCGAGCGCAGCAGACGCGCGCCUCGCGAACCUCUGGCACGGGCGUCCAUCAAGACGCACCCCAAAGUUUGACCUCGGAUCAGGUAGGGAUACCCGCUGAACUUAA